UUGAAAGGGAAACGAUUGAAGUCAGUCGUACUUGCGGGUAAUCAGCCUUUUGGGUGCGAUUCUGUGGAGCGUGGGGAGUUAAACGCCUUCAUGCCUGCAUAUUCGUGCACUUUGGGUGUACUUGCCCGUGUGUAGGUUAACAUCAAUUUUGAUCAUCAUAAAAUGGUUGGAGGAAUGUAGCUUCGAUCUCGUAUUGAAGUGUUAUAGCCUUCGGCAGAUGUGAUGAUCGGGAUUGAGGAUUGCAACGGAUACCCUUCGGGGCUACCUGUCUGAUCUCUGAUCGUUGCUCUGGUGUCGAAAGCUUGCUUACGGUCAUCAAAGUCGAUGGUCAACAGGUUAGAACGGGUUAAAUUCGUUAAGGAUGUUGACGUA
rnacentral:rRNA from 1 species